CUACAGGUUCCGUAGAAUUGUAGAUGUCGUUGAGACUCCGUGUUCUUGUGGAUGCUUCAUCUGAGCUGCUGCUUCCGCUGCUGCUGGUUGGUGACGAAGGGGCUGUUGUACCAGGACUUUGAUCAUCGCCUUGUUCUUCUUGGUUAUUGUCGUCUUCGUUGAAAAAUAAUCCUUCCACUUUCUUUUCUUCUUCACUCCAUCUCCAGUAAUCCGCUUCAUCGAACUCGACAUCUCUUGAGAUAAUCAAUUUCUUAGUAAGAGGAUUAUAAAGUCUGUAGGCCUUACUUCUUUUGUCAUAGCCUAUAAA
rnacentral:lncRNA from 1 species